UAGCCUAGUCGUUAAGGCUAUGGAUCGCCAAUCCGGAGACGGCGGGUUCGAUUCCCGU
rfam:Aedes albopictus isolate Foshan contig143325, whole genome shotgun sequence.